rnacentral:lncRNA from 1 species
GGUCCUGUGUUGCUCUUGUAAAACUCGAGUAGUUUUAUUCAAGGGUAUUUUCAGCCAGUGAAUGGGGAUAGGUCUACAUAGGUUAUAGGAAUCUGAUGUCAAGGUGACACUAUACUUGUGUGGCAUCAGGAGAGAGAGGUACGCUUGCUUUUUCCUUGCGACCAAUGGGUCAGUUGUUUCAAAGCACGGUUCUCUUGCUGCUGGCUAAAAAUCUUUGUUUGGCAGCACAAGGAAUCUUGCAGAAAAACGAGGCCCAGGUGCCCACCAUAAUUUUAUGUCGAUCUUAUAUCAUCUCUCUGAGCACGACCAUGGUCGCUGCACACCAGCGCUUACCUUGGGCGAUUGCCUGGGAGGCUCGGGCCAUCACAGCUCUCUGGGAAAACCAAGGCCACCUAUUAGCAGAGGAGUUAGAACAGGGCUCUACCUGUAGACUGCAAGAGGAGAACCUUUCAUCUCACGAUGCCUCUGUGUGUGUCCAAAAGGGCCAAGCCUGGCCCAGCGCUGUCUUGUUCACGCUGAGUCUGAGUUUUUGGGAGAGGCUAAUCUGCAUCCCGCGUGUCCAUCCUCGACGGUGCCGUGCUGCCGGGGCCAGACCAGUGCUGAUACCCAGCUGUUUGUCCUGCCCUUUCCGAAACUGCCGGGCUGCUAAUGAUGGAUUUCUCCUUCCAUCUCACCAGGCUUUAGCAAAGCUGACCUCCACAUGA